rnacentral:rRNA from 1 species
AGAAUCAACGCUGGCGGCGUGCCUAACACAUGCAAGUCGAACGAGAAAGUGGAGCAAUCCAUGAGUAAAGUGGCGCACGGGUGAGUAACACGUGACUAACCUACCCUUGAGUGGGGAAUAACCUCGGGAAACCGGGGCUAAUACCGCAUAACACCUACGGGUCAAAGGAGCAAUUCGCUUAAGGAGGGGGUCGCGGCAGAUUAGUUAGUUGGCGGGGUAAUGGCCCACCAAGACGGUGAUCUGUAUCCGGCCUGAGAGGGCGCACGGACACACUGGAACUGAAACACGGUCCAGACUCCUACGGGAGGCAGCAGUGGGGAAUUUGCGCAAUGGGGGAAACCCUGACGCAGCAACGCCGCGUGGAGGAUGAAGUCCCUUGGGACGUAAACUCCUUUCGAUCGGGACGAUUAUGGCGGUACCGGAAGAAGAGCCCGGCUAACUUCGCGCCAGCAGCCGC